rnacentral:rRNA from 1 species
GACGAACGCUGGCGGCGUGCUUAACACAUGCAAGUCGAACGGAAAGGCCCUGCUUUUGUUGGGUGCUCGAGUGGCGAACGGGUGAGUAACACGUGAGUAACCUGCCCUUGACUUUGGGAUAACUUCAGGAAACUGGGGCUAAUACCGGAUAGGAGCUCCUGCUGCAUGGUGGGGGUUGGAAAGUUUCGGCGGUUGGGGAUGGACUCGCGGCUUAUCAGCUUGUUGGUGGGGUAGUGGCUUACCAAGGCUUUGACGGGUAGCCGGCCUGAGAGGGUGACCGGCCACAUUGGGACUGAGAUACGGCCCAGACUCCUACGGGAGGCAGAAGUGGGGAAUAUUGCACAAUGGGCGGAAGCCUGAUGCAGCAACGCCGCGUGCGGGAUGACGGCCUUCGGGUUGUAAACCGUUUUCGCCUGUGACGAAGCGUGAGUGACGGUAAUGGGUAAAGAAGCACCGGCUAACUACGUG